AAGCUUCUGCGGGUCGACGAUUCCUACGGGAGGCAGCAGCAGGGAAUAUUGCACAAUGGGCGCAAGCCUGAUGCAGCGACGCCGCGUGAGGGAUGAAGGCUUUCGGGUUGUAAACCUCUUUCAGUGGGGAAGAAGCGCAAGUGACGGUACCCACACAAGAAGGCCCGGCCAACUACGUGCCAGCAGCCGCGGUAAUACGUAGGGGCCAAGCGUUAUCCGGAUUUAUUGGGCGUAAAGAGCACGUAGGUGGCAUGGUAAGUCAAAGGUGAAAGCCCUCGGCUCAACCGAGGAAUUGCCUUUGAAACUGCUUUGCUUGAGUCCGGGAGGGGGGAGCGGAAUUCCCAGUGUAGCGGUGAAAUGCGUAGAUACUGGGAGGAACACCGGUGGCGAAGGCGGCUCCCUGGACCGGUACUGACACUGAGGUGCGAAAGCGUGGGUAGCAAACAGGAUUAGAUACCCUGGUAGUCCACGCCGUAAACGAUGGGCACUAGGUGCAGCGGGUGUCGACCCCUGCUGUGCCGUAGUUAACGCAUUAAGUGCUCCGCCUGGGGAGUACGGUCGCAAGGUUGAAACUCAAAUGAAUUGACGG
rnacentral:rRNA from 1 species